AGAUUGAACGCUGGCGGCAUGCCUAACACAUGCAAGUCGAACGGCAGCACGGGGGGCAAUCCUGGUGGCGAGUGGCGGACGGGUGAGGAAUGCAUCGGAAUCUGCCUGGUUGUGGGGGAUAACGUAGGGAAACUUACGCUAAUACCGCAUACGACCUACGGGUGAAAGUGGGGGACCGCAAGGCCUCACGCGAUCAGAGGAGCCGAUGUCGGAUUAGCUAGUUGGCGGGUAAAGGCCCACAAGGCGACGAUCCGUAGCUGGUCUGAGAGGAUGAUCAGCCACACUGGAACUGAGACACGGCCCAGACUCCGUACGGGAGGCAGCAGUGGGGAAUUGUCGCAAGUGGGCGCAAGCCUGACGACGCAACCGCCGCGGUGGAGGA
rnacentral:rRNA from 1 species